CUGACAUACUUGAAUUCGCGCCGAAUGCAACAGUUUUAUCUUCUCAGAAUUUAUACAAUAACAACAAUAACGAAAGAAAUAUCACCGAUUUACUACCUACUAGAUCUAGAGAGUCGGAGGCUAGACAUGGAGGAGCGACUUGUUUCAGCAGUUAACAAGCUGGCUGGCUACAGCUGCUGAAGCUAAUAGCAAGGCCGCGGAUAUGCAAACAGAGUUGCUUCGGCUGCUGCUGGAGGAAGCUAGGUGAAGACCAAUAUAAGGUUAAAGAAUAGCAGCAUGACGAUUCUCAAGAACGAAGACACUAGCGAAGAACGAAGAUACAAACUAAGUUAAAAUACUUAAGUAAAAACAUAUGUAUUCAAUAAACUUGUAUGUAAAUAUUUAAGCUAAAGUAUAAGUACUCCAUUUAUGUUAUUUAAGUGAAGUUGUAUUUAAUUUAAAUACUUAAGUUUGGUCAUGUUAUUUAAGUGAGUUUGUCUAGGGGUAACAUUAAAGUACAUUAAAGACAAAGCAACUAGAUAUCAUUUUACCAAGAACUAUUUUGAAACAAAAAUAAUAUAGCAUCACGCUUCUAUUCCCGAAAGGGUAAGCAGAGGUGUAUAGUAUAUGUAUACACCCACUCCUUGCCAACUACUAUCUAAUAAAAGGAUUUGUAUAGGUGUAUUGAUGAAGAUGUUGGAUGCAAUUAACUUAUAUUUCCAUAUUAUAGUAAG